rnacentral:rRNA from 1 species
UACGUAGGGGGCUAGCGUUGUCCGGAUUUAUUGGGCGUAAAGAGCGUGUAGGCGGCCAGGUAGGUCUGGUGUGAAAACUCGAGGCUUAACCUCGAGAUGUCAUCGGAAACCAUUUGGCUAGAGUCCGGAAGAGGAGAGUGGAAUUCCUGGUGUAGCGGUGAAAUGCGCAGAUAUCAGGAAGAACACCAAUGGCGAAAGCAGCUCUCUGGGACGGUACUGACGCUGAGACGCGAAAGCCAGGGGAGCGAACGGG